UAAACUUUAUUUAUUCCCAUGAUUAAAAUGUGAAAAUAAAAUCUGUUAAGCUAUUUUAAUUCGCUUUCCUCUUUUAACUUCCUUAUCAGUCAAAACCUUUUUCUUUCAUUCAAUUUUAUACAGGUUGUCUCAUUUUAACCCUUAGCUAGCACUGUGGGAUCUUAAACGCCCCAGCCUAGUUCAGCUCCAAUUUAAGCCCCCCUAUAGUACGAAAAUGGUACUUGUGGUACCAUCUCUUGUUAAGACGAGGAACGCUCUUCCUCCUGGAGUACAGAGCGUAAUCCUAAAAGUGUUACUGUAGCUGUGACAGUCGAGUGAAACGGACCGGGGUCAUCAGGGACCCAGUGUGCCAGCUAUAAUUAUUCGAAGAUAUUUUUUCUGAAUUUUUUUCAUUGGUUUUCGUCAUCAGUGUGUAGAAAAAGAUGGCGUAUCAGUUACGGCCUCGACCCAUACGCCAGCAGCUACUCGAGGAGGAUCGUGAAGAUAAUUUGGACGAAAAUCCCUCUGAUGAAGAUACUAGAAAUGAUUCUGAAUACUCUGAAGAAGAUUCUGAUUAUUAUAUAUUAUUAUUUUCAUAUUUUUUACGAUUAUAUCCUUUUAUAUAU